GAGAUCACCUAACAGGUGAGACACCGUGCUCACGAGGGUGUUUUUCCCAGGGAAAGGCCUGUCUCCUGCACGCUGGCUGUGCCAAUGCCUGUGAUUUCCCCAAAUGCGAGGAACUUGACUUCAUCUUUUGGUAUAAUGGCAAGCUGUGUUCAUGCUCCUUCCCC
rnacentral:snRNA from 14 species